UAUGCCUCAGAUGCACAUUGUUUAAACAGAGUAUAUGUGUAAUCACAGUGGCUGAAUGUCCUUUUUGAGAUCCUGCAGCUGUUGACCCUGAGUGGGAGAAUGCCUUAUCCAGGUGUAGUCUUGUGCACACCUUUCCAGACCCAUAGCAGUGGUUUGGUUGCAGAGCUGUGAUUAUAUGGAAAUUCUCCACACUUGGUAUACAGCAGUUCAGACAUGCAGCCCCAUUGGAAUGUGCUGAUAGAGAUAUACUUUUAAUUAUUCGGCUUCAUUAUAUUAUGAUUGGAUUUGA